rnacentral:rRNA from 1 species
AUUGAACGCUGGCGGCAUGCCUUACACAUGCAAGUCGAACGGCAGCACGGGAGCAAUCCUGGUGGCGAGUGGCGAACGGGUGAGUAAUAUAUCGGAACGUGCCCAGUCGUGGGGGAUAACGUAGCGAAAGCUACGCUAAUACCGCAUACGAUCUAUGGAUGAAAGCGGGGGAUCGCAAGACCUCGCACGAUUGGAGCGGCCGAUAUCCGAUUAGGUAGUUGGUGAGGUAAAGGCUCACCAAGCCGACGAUCUGUAGCUGGUCUGAGAGGACGACCAGCCACACUGGGACUGAGACACGGCCCAGACUCCUACGGGAGGCAGCAGUGGGGAAUUUUGGACAAUGGGCGCAAGCCUGAUCCAGCAAUGCCGCGUGCAGGAUGAAGGCCUUCGGGUUGUAAACUGCUUUUGUACGGAGCGAAAAGGCUUCCACUAAUACUGGGGGCUCAUGACGGUACCGUAAGAAUAAGCACCGGCUAACUACGUGCCAGCAGCCGCCGUAACAC